rfam:Streptomyces sp. Ncost-T10-10d genome assembly, contig: Ga0115254_1208
GCCGGUCCUCGGUAGUGGCCCCCGGCACAGCAACCCGGGUGCUUCGAUCGAAGACCGGC